CAGCAGGUCAACACUUAAAAACAGAACUGAAGUUGUUGGAAGUUUUUAUCAGUGUGUUUGAGGACACACCCCCUCCAUCACUCUCACACACACACUCUCUCUCUCUCCACUCAGUCAGUGUGUGUCUCUCAUCGAGGAUGGACGUGUGUGUGUCUCUCUCGCUCGCUCUGGUCCUGUCGUCCUGCUGUGGAAGUGUAGGAAGCCACGAAGAAGAAGAGAAGCUGAGCACUGAGGACUACAACUACGCAACAGUGACUCCAACGCCAGACUACGACUACAACGCCACCUUCGACUAUUACUAUGUGACCUACGAGGACAGGAACAUGGAUGGAGCGGACACCUCAGACGGCAGAGGGUCCAGGCC
rnacentral:lncRNA from 1 species